UACAGAGGUCUCGAGCGUUAGGCGGAAUCACUGGGCUUAAAGCGUGUGUAGGUGGAUCGUUAAGUACCUUGUGAAAUCCCACGGCUCAACCGUGGAAGUGCCUUUGAUACUACGAGUCUCGAGGGAGGUAGGGGCAUGCGGAACUUCCGGUGGAGCGGUGAAAUGCGUAGAUAUCGGAAGGAACACCGGUGGCGAAAGCGGCGCGCUGGACCUCAACUGACGCUGAGGCACGAAAGCCAGGGGAGCAAACGGG
rnacentral:rRNA from 1 species